ACUUUCUUUAAAUCUCUAUUAAGUCAUUAUUCUCUAUUAUUUACCCACAGCUGUUACUUUCUUUGUAAUCAUAAUUAUACUGAUCGCUGUCAUCAUUGUUCUCAACCGACGAAGAAGCCAAUGUCAAGGAGAGAAAGAGAUGAUCAUUAAAAACUGAACCAAACAAAAAGAAAGUCUCAAUAUCAUGGAAUUGUGAUUAGACGACUGAUUGUAUAUAAGUGUUAUAUAGUAGAGACAGUUCAUAAUAAACAUUAUAUUUGUCAAUAAA
rnacentral:sRNA from 1 species